AUUGAACGCUGGCGGCACGCUUAACACAUGCAAGUCGAACGGCAUCAUGGCGAGUACUUGUACACGCUGAUGGCGAGUGGCGGACGGGUGAGUAAAGCGCAGGAAUAUACCUUAAAGAGGGGGAUAACUUGGGGAAACUCAGGCUAAUACCGCAUGUGCUCUGAGGAGCGAAGCUGGGGACCGUUAAAGGCCUGGCGCUUUAAGAAUAGCCUGCGUCCGAUUAGCUAGUUGGUAGGGUAAAGGCCUACCAAGGCGAUGAUCGGUAGCUGGGCUGAGAGGACGAACAGCCACGCUGGGGCUGAGACACGGCCCAGACUCCUACGGGAGGCAGCAGUGGGGAAUAUUGGACAAUGGGGGGAACCCUGAUCCAGCGAUGCCGCGUGUGUGAAGAAGGCCUGAGGGUUGUAAGCACUUUUAGUGAGGAGGAGGUCAGCGAGGUUAAGAGCCAUGUUGACGGACGUUACUUACAGAAAAAGCACCGGCUAACUCCGUGCCAGCCGCCGCGGUAA
rnacentral:rRNA from 1 species